GACGAACGCUGGCGGCGUGCUUAACACAUGCAAGUCGAACGGAAAGGCACUGCUUUUGUGGGGUGCUCGAGUGGCGAACGGGUGAGUAACACGAGAGUAACCUGCCCUUGACUUUGGGAUAACUUCAGGAAACUGGGGCUAAUACCGGAUAGGAGCUCCUGCUGCAUGGUGGGGGUUGGAAAGUUUCGGCGGUUGGGGAUGGACUCGCGGCUUAUCAGCUUGUUGGUGGGGUAGUGGCUUACCAAGGCUUUGACGGGUAGCCGGCCUGAGAGGGUGACCGGCCACAUUGGGACUGAGAUACGGCCCAGACUCCUACGGGAGGCAGCAGUGGGGAAUAUUGCACAAUGGGCGGAAGCCUGAUGCAGCAACGCCGCGUGCGGGAUGACGGCCUUCGGGUUGUAAACCGCUUUCGCCUGUGACGAAGCGUGAGUGACGGUAAUGGGUAAAGAAGCACCGGCUAACUACGUG
rnacentral:rRNA from 1 species